rnacentral:rRNA from 1 species
UCGGGAAUAUUGCGCAAUGGAGGAAACUCUGACGCAGUGACGCCGCGUGCAGGAAGAAGGGUUUUCGGAUUGUAAACUGCUUUAGACAGGGAAGAAAAAAAUGACGGUACCUGUAGAAUAAGCUCCGGCUAACUACGUGCC